AUUGAACGCUGGCGGCAGGCUUUACACAUGCAAGUCGAACGGCUGCACGGGGCCAACCCUUGUGGUGAGCGGCGAACGGGUGAGUAAUACAUCGGAACCUGCCCGGUCGUGGGGGAUAACGUCGCGAAAGUUACUCUAAUACCGCAUACGUUCUGAGGAUGAAAGCGGGGGACCUUCUGACCUCGCGCGAUCGGAUCUGCCUAUGUCAGAUUAGCUAGUUGGUGGGGUAAAGGCCUACCAAGCCGACGAUCUGUAUCUGGUCUGAGAGGACGACCAGACACACUGGGACUGAGACACGGUCCAGACUCCUACGGGAGGCAGCAGUGGGGAAUUUUGGACAAUGGGCGCAAGCCUGAUCCAGCCAUGCCGCGUGCAGGAAGAAGGCCUUCGGGUUGUAAACUGCUUUUGUAUGGAACGAAAAGGAUUUGGCUAAUACCUGGCGGUCAUGACGGUACCGAAAGAAUAAGCACCGGCUAACUACGUG
rnacentral:rRNA from 1 species